ACAUACCCACUUCAUCAAACUAUUUGGAUAAGAUUUUGGUGUCAUCAUAGAGAGUUCUUUGAAGACGUCCACGCAAUGUGAAGUGGCAGUCAAAAAAGCAAACAGAAUGUUAGGAAUCAUUCAAAAAGGGAUAGAGAAUAA